rnacentral:rRNA from 1 species
AGAAUCAACGCUGGCGGCGUGCCUAACACAUGCAAGUCGAACGAGAAAGUGGGAGCAAUCCCACGAGUAAAGUGGCGCACGGGUGAGUAACACGUGACUAACCUACCCUUGAGUGGGGGAUAACCUAGGGAAACCUGGGCUAAUACCGCAUAAUACCUACGGGUCAAAGGAGCAAUUCGCUUAAGGAGGGGGUCGCGGCAGAUUAGUUAGUUGGCGGGGUAAUGGCCCACCAAGACUGUGAUCGGUAU